rnacentral:misc_RNA from 1 species
AGAGUCGAAGUAGGAGUAGGAGUGGGAGGUGUGUGAGUGAGCCAGAGCCACUCUCUGCACUGCAGUGAACCAGUCCAAGUCCAACAAGAACUCUUGCCCACGGUACACGAAUGAAGAAUUAAUUCAGUUGGUUGCUACUUUCGUAUGUCACUUUGGACUGUCUGAUUGUUCUAGUUAUUUUCGACAAUAAGUAGUUGCUAUUGUUUACAUUUAUAAGUUCGCUCGUUCUUUUUGUCAAAGACAAAGUUACAACUGAUAAGUGAGUGGUAUCGGAAAGGAAAUAAUCGACCAGAAACCAGCCCGGAUGCUCACACCAGCAACCAGUUCAAGAUGGCCUCAUUACACACUAAUCAAAUCCUACAUCACUUGUGAUCGACGUGUAUUGACAUACUAACCGAAAGUAUCGUUUUAUUUAUUGGUGAGUAAAGUUUCUUGAAUUUGAACGAACAAAUAGAACAGUUUAGAACGACAGUCGUGAAAAUGUGUCGGGCAGUUGCCAGUUGUCCCGGAUUGCUUGUGUUUGUGUAAACGAAUCGGCGACGCCGCAUUUUACUUUUUACUAUCUCCUAUGUAUCUACUUAUAUACACUUUAUAAAAUAUUGAAAUUAACUUAUCACUAUGGCUGCCCAAAGAUCUGACUCAACGCCGAUCUGUCGCUGCAGAGUCCUCUACUUGGGCUCUUCUGUACCUCAUGUCACUAAGGAUGGACUACAGGGAAUUCAGGAACCUCUCAGAGAAUUGUAUCCAGAACAAGGAGCCAUAGGUGCAAAAGGCAUUGAUUCUUGGUUGAGUGUAUGGAGCAAUGGUUUGUUGCUUGAAAAUGUUGAUGAAAAUCAUAAAAAAGUUAGUAGGUUCUUCCCCAUAGAUACAUUACAUUACUGUGCAGCUGUACGCUACGUUUUGGUGCCAGAGAAGUCAUCAUCGUUAUCUUCGUCAUCGCAACCCAGAUUUCUACCCCUUGACUCACCGUUUGCAAGAACUCCGAAUCCAAGUCAUCCACCUCUGUUCGCUGCAAUACUUCGCAGGACGACAGGUAUCAAAGUUCUAGAAUGUCAUACAUUUAUCUGCAAGAGAGAAAUGGCAGCUAAUGCUCUAGUACGUUGUUGUUUUCAUGCUUAUGCUGAUUCUUCAUAUGCUAGACACAUUGACUCUGGUGGUAACUCUAAUAGUGUGUAUGGUACACUUAGGAAUUAUAAUCAGCCUAUACAAUCUAAUAAUAUUGAGAAAGUUGAAGGAUGGAAUAGAAUGGCACCCAGUGGUAGCAUGCUUACAUUAAACAGCACAAGUUUACAGAACAAUAUGGAUGUAGGAAAUCAUCAAAGUCAUUUAGCACCCACCCCUGAUAAUGAUACUUCUAUAGAUGAUAUGUCAAUUUGUAAUGGUGAUGAGAAUCAUAAAAUUUGGGCUGGUAGUACAAAAGAUAUAUCUUCUAAUGAUCGAGAUUAUAUCUAUGGUGAGUGUGGGGGGAGUACUAUGAGAAGUACUCGUUCAAUCAGACCAAGACAAAUAAUGAAUGCACCACCCCCACCACCACCACCAGUCAAGGAAGAGAAAAAAAAGUUGAAUAAAGACAAGUCAAAACGCAAAAAAGGAGGGCCAGAUAGGGAAGAAAUGCAUCAUAUGAUGAUGAAUGGAACAUUGAUGAGACCAGCCACAGCCCAAGGUAUGAAUGGAAUAAGAUCACACAGUUCGAUGAGUGGAACUAUGAUGAGAGGAGCACACAUGCAUCCCAAAGGCACAAUUCUAAGGCCAGCUUCAUCGCAUCUUAGUUAUCAUCCGAACUCUCCUCCUCCACCACCUCUACCACCACCGAUGAUAAUGGUGCCCACCACUCUGCCCAAUCCAAAGAGGUCAGCGGCGCAAACACUCCCCCACCGCCCUCCAAAAGGAAGUAUCAUGGUUCCUAUCCAUCCUCAAAUGGUGCCUCCAAACUUCUUUCCUCUUCCACCACACCCCAUGUACUUACAGGCUGGAAGAAAACCUCCAAAACACUAUCAAGUAGCAAUGGAAGAACCAAUCUACAUGCCUUCAGCUCGACCCAUGAGUCCAGUUGCCUCCUACCAGCCCAGCCAUUUCCCACAUGAAGCCUACCUCAUGCAACAGUAUGCCACACUCUAUGGCACUGGCAAGAAGAAAGACAAACACGACAAGAAUAUGGUGCCAAUGCCCAUGAAUGGGGGCAACUACAGCGAGGAGCAGUACAAUCAUCCAGCAAUGCAUAGUAAAAGAGGAAAGGAAUCGAAAAAAGGCAAAGACAGGCCUCAGAGCAUGAAUGGCAGUCAUCCAGGUGAUGACGACGACGAUGAGUCCCCUUUCAACUCUCGUGUCUAUCGUAAAAAGAGUAAAGAAAUGAAAAAUGGUAGAAAAUCGGCACAUGAUAAUCAUGAUGAUGAGAAUGACGGUGAAUCACCCUUUAACACUGGAAUAUAUCGCAGGAAAGGUCAUCUCAAUGAAAGAGCUUUUUCAUAUUCCAUCCGGCAAGAACAUCGAUCAAGAUCGUAUGGAUCAUUGGCCAAUCUGAAAUUUGCACCUCCACCAACACUGCCUAUCAAUGGAAAUGGUUCAGCCUCGCCACCAGGAGACAAUAAGGCCUACUACAAUGGAUCAGUCAAUAAGUUGGAGAUGAAGAAGGAACGUGAGAUAAUCCAGAUGAUGCAGGACUUGGAGCUUACUGGAGAUGAGCUGGAGAGAUGUGAGGUCCCAGCAGCAGUCUAUCAACAGCAGCAGCAGAUGCAUCAUCCUGCAAAACUAAGGAGAUAAGGAAGCAGCUGACGUCGAUAAUGAAUUGUCAGCUCGGCCGUCCAAAAUUGUUGAAACGUAUGGUGGAAACUUGUAAGACUGUAAGCGAUAGCGAUUUGCACUUGUUAAGAAAAUUAUUCAUUAUUGAUCAAGUCAAAUAACAUGUAUUUAAUUAUUUUUGUUCAUUCCAGUUUGUGGAUUAUAUGGUAUUAGACAAGCGAAGUUUUUGAGAAAUAAGUCACUGUAAUAUUUAUAAAUUCGUGGGAGAGUGUAAAGAGGGAUAAGUUACUUUUUUCCCAAAAUGUGUUUUUUGAUCUAAUUCACUCAUAAGCCGAUUCUUGAGAAGUGUUAAAGGAGUACCUACAUUAGGCGAGCUAAUAUUGAAAUAUCGAAGAAGUCGAUAUUUAAAUAUUUUAGCCUCAAUAAUUGAGAAAGUGUCCAAUGGAAUAAAAGGUUUAUGUCAUAUCAGGUAGACUUAUUCCCUUUUACAUGAUCAGAGAGUAAUGAGUAUACCCACAAGACUUUUGUAACAAGGGACAAGUUUGAAACGUUCUGACUUGUCUCCUGAAAAAGCAACCUGCAAGAUGUCACAUGCAGAUAAACUGUUUAAUAUGAUAUUUCAAAAUGAGAAUGGCGAAGAAGCAGUCAGUUCAUUAAAGAUUUCUAGAGAAUUUCCCGCAAUAAUGUUUCACCAAUCGGAAUCAACUUUAAAAUCAGCUGAUCACCUGCUUAACAUUGAACUGAACUCACAUCCUGAGAUCCUGUGUUGUUUUGGUGUAACCAAGCAUUAAUCACUCUCGCUUCAAUAUUUAUGGCAUUCAUUAUUAAAUAAUGCAUUUUAUUGAUGCUCGACAAAUAUUGUUGUCAUUAAAUAAAUGUUUGUCAUUGUCAUUGAAAAUGUAGACAAGAAUGCAUUAUAGAAUUUUCAAUUUCAAUUUCAAUUUAUUUAUCCUUUUUACAACAUAGUUAUUGUACAAAGUAGUUAUGAAAUAAAUAACUUAAAACUAAAACAAAAUAACUUAAAAUAGCAGGUUAACAAAAACACGGAAGGUCCCUGCAAAGGCAAAGCCUGUGCGCAGGGGCCGAGUGUUACAAAAAACUACAGAACCAAAGUGAAAGCAUAAAACAAAAAUAUAAAUUAUAAGUAUGAAAUUU